ensembl:lncRNA
UCACGGGUCUGAAGCCUUUGACUGAAUAUGAAGUUUCUCUGUCUGCGAUCUACAGAGAUGAGUCAGAGAGCGAUUCGGUGAAGAUCAGCGAGACCACAGUUGCCAGAACAAAAACAGUUUCAACGACGACCAUCAGUACGACUACAGUCGAGCAACGUCUGGCCAUCAGGAAUCUGCAGCUGAGCAACGUGACGACUUUCAGCAUGCGUGUAUCGUGGGAUCCGCUGGGUCCAAAUGUGCGUCAGUACCGAGUAUGGUACAUAAGUACGCGAGGAGACCGCGCCGAACAGACGGCGACGGUUCCUGCGGCUCAGACCUCGCUGCUGCUGCAGCCUCUGCUGUCAGACACGGAGUNCAUUUGAAGCUAAACUCUUAUUUAUUAGGUAAAAUAGGCUUUGGAAUUCACACGUGUUUCAGUAUCGAUGGAAUAUAUAUAUAUAUUUAACCAAGAAUGAACUGAAAUGAAAACAUUUAGCUUUUAAGCUUUUAUAUAUAGGCAUAUAUAUAUAUAUAUAUAUAUAUAUGUGUGUGUGUGUAUAUAUGUAUAUGUAUGUAUGUGUGUAUGUAUGUAAUGACUGUUUAAAAACAAUAGCAUGCAUAAGAGCCUUUGUGUAAAGGUCUUUAAAUUUUUGAUGAGUAGACUGUAGCCUAAGACUAUCCUAUUUUUUAAUGGUUUUAAGGAUGUUAUAAUGUAUAUUAUAAUGUUAUUGUUGUUUAACGUCUUCCUUUCAUUUUACAAUUACAUUCAGUUUGCAAUCUGUCCCUUUGUGCCACCUGGCGUUAAAUGAUUUUAACACGCGACUGAAUUGCAGUUAACGCCGCGGCCCUGCGGCGGUGGUAUUACCCAUUUUGGAUGUCUACCUACUGUAUGUGUUUGUUUUUGCCCAGUAAACAUACUCUUUCAGAAUCUGACAUAAAUUAAUAAAUCCCUAAUUAAUGAGCA